rnacentral:lncRNA from 1 species
GGUUAGAGAAGGACACAGAAAAAAAUGGUGGAUUUUAUCCCUGGCUCUCCAUCCUUAUUCUUUUUGUUAUCAUGAGUCUAACCGAAAAAUCAACGAACAAUUCUCCCCUUGAUUUAGAGGUUUAACAAACGAGAAAACUUAAAAAAAUAGCUCCCAAGGCAAUGUGUCACAACAAAAUUAUGUGUCAUUGAGACUACAAGACCUAUAGUUUACUAUAGUGCUUAAAUAAACUCAAUCUUAUCUUAGUGGGAGGUUCAUUGGAAAACUUAUACCCUUGUCGACGAUUUGGAUCUGCAGUAAUAUAUGGGGUGGCUAAUGAGGCGAAAAGAUCGAUGGUUAGAUGAAGACACGGGUUACCCAAAUUCAGGCUUUUAAUAUAUAAGAUAAUACCCUACUCCUCAUUGGUGAUU